UCUAGCUGAUAUCAUGCUAGUCGACGAUCCCGGACCAUGGCGGGAGAGUGGCACACUGCUCAGUAACACGUAGCUAACCUAACCUCGGGACGGGGAAAACCCCGGGAAACUGGGGCUAAUCCACGAUGGGCGUGGGCUCCUGGAAUGGUUCCACGCCGAAAGGUAAGCGUACCCAUGUCGUACGCGCACGCCCGAGGAUGGGGCUGCGGCCGAUCAGGCUGUUGGUGGGGUAACGGCCCACCAAACCUUUGACCGGUACGGGCCGUGAGAGCGGUAGCCCGGAGAUGGGCACUGAGACAAGGGCCCAGGCCCUACGGGGCGCAGCAGGGGCGAAACCUCCACAAUGCACGCAAGUGCGAUGGGGUUACCUCGAGUGCCGUCUGAAGAAGGCGGCUUUUCCGCGGUGUAAUGAGCCGUGGGAAUAAGGGGGGGGCAAGACUGGUGUCAGCCGCCGCGGUAACACCAGCCCUCCGAGUGGUGGGGAUGUUUAUUGGGCUUAAAGCGUUCGUAGCCGGCUCAGCAAGUCUUCCGUUAAAUCCAGCGAUCUAAUCGUUGGACUGCGGAAGAUACUGUUGGGCUAGGGGACGGGAGAAGCCGACGGUAUUCUCGGGGUAGGGGCGAAAUCCUAUAAUCCCGGGAGGACCACCAGUGGCGAAGGCGGUCGGCUAGAACGCGCCCGACGGUGAGGGACGAAAGCUGGGGGAGCGAACCGGAUUAGAUACCCGGGUAGUCCCAGCUGUAAACUAUGCGGGCUAGGUGUUGGGGCGGCUACGAGCCGCUUCAGUGCCGCACGGAAGCAAUUAAGCCCGCCGCCUGGGAAGUACGGCCGCAAGGCUGAAACUUAAAGGAAUUGGCGGGGGAGCACCACAAGGGCGUGAAGCUUGCGGUUUAAUUGGAGUCAACGCCGGG
rnacentral:rRNA from 1 species